rnacentral:rRNA from 1 species
CGAUGGUAAGGUAGUGUCUUACCAUGGUUGUAACGGGUAACGGACCGUGGGUGCGGGAUUCCGGAGAGGGAGCCUGAGAAACGGCUACCACAUCCAAGGAAGGCAGCAGGCGCGUAAAUUACCCCAUCCAGACUCUGGGAGGUAGUGACAAGAAAUAUCAAUGGGGGAACCUAUGGUUCUUCCAAUUGGAAUGAGAUCGAGCUAAAUAGCCAAAUCGAGAAUCCAGCAGAGGGCAAGUCUGGUGCCAGCAGCCGCGGUAAUUCCAGCUCUGUAAGCGUAUACCAAAGUUGUUGCAGUUAAAACGCUCGUAGUCGGACAUUGGCAAUUCCGGGAGUGUGCGCGUCGUGUGCGCACUCUGCGGGGGUUGCUUUUGUGGUAUUGUGUGUGAUGAAGCAUUUUAAUUAAUGAACGUCUAUCGCAACCACUUUUUACAAGAAAAUUAGAGUGUUCAAAGCAGGCAUUUGUCGUGAAUACAUUAGCACAGAAUAAUAGAAUAGGACUUGUUUCUAUUUUGUUGGUUUGUGAGGAAUGAGUAAUGAUUAAGAGGGACAGUUGGGGGCAUUUGUAUUUGGAGGCUAGAGGUGAAAUUCUUAGAUUCUCCAAAGACAAACUGCUGAGAAAGCGUCUGCCAAGGAUGUUUUCAUUGAUCAAGAACGAAAGUAAGGGGAUCGAAGACGAUCAGAUACCGUCGUAGUCUUUACUAUAAACGAUGAGGACUGGGGAUCGGGCGAGGCAUUACGAUGACCCGCCCGGCACCCUUCGAGAA